UACGUAGGGUGCAAGCGUUACUCGGAAUUACUGGGCGUAAAGCGUGCGCAGGCGGUUUUGUAAGGCUGUCGUGAAAGCCCCGGGCUCAACCUGGGAAUUGCGAUGGAGACUGCAAGGCUUGAAUCUGGCAGAGGGGGGUAGAAUUCCACGUGUAGCAGUGAAAUGCGUAGAGAUGUGGAGGAACACCGAUGGCGAAGGCAGCCCCCUGGGUCAAGAUUGACGCUCAUGCACGAAAGCGUGGGGAGCAAACAGG
rnacentral:rRNA from 1 species